rnacentral:rRNA from 1 species
CGGGUGAGUAACACGUGGGCAAUCUGCCCUGCACUCUGGGAUAACUCCGGGAAACCGGAGCUAAUACCGGAUACGACCUUCCAGGGCAUCCUGGGGGGUGGAAAGCUCCGGCGGUGCAGGAUGAGCCCGCGGCCUAUCAGCUGGUUGGUGGGGUGACGGCCCACCAAGGCGACGACGGGUAGCCGGCCUGAGAGGGCGACCGGCCACACUGGGACUGAGACACGGCCCAGACUCCUACGGGAGGCAGCAGUGGGGAAUAUUGCACAAUGGGCGCAAGCCUGAUGCAGCGACGCCGCGUGAGGGAUGACGGCCUUCGGGUUGUAAACCUCUUUCAGCAGGGAAGAAGCGCAAGUGACGGUACCUGCAGAAGAAGCACCGGCUAACUACGUGCCAGCAGCCGCGGUAAUACGUAGGGUGCGAGCGUUGUCCGGAAUUAUUGGGCGUAAAGAGCUCGUAGGCGGCCUGUCGCGUCGGAUGUGAAAGCCCGGGGCUUAACCCCGGGUCUGCAUUCGAUACGGGCAGGCUAGAGUUCGGUAGGGGAGAUCGGAAUUCCUGGUGUAGCGGUGAAAUGCGCAGAUAUCAGGAGGAACACCGGUGGCGAAGGCGGAUCUCUGGGCCGAUACUGACGCUGAGGAGCGAAAGCGUGGGGAGCGAACAGGAUUAGAUA